CGGGUAGGAGAGGCAAUCGCGGGGGAUUCGUCCCACGAGGAAAGUCCGGACUCCACAGAGCAGCGUGCCGGGUAACGCCCGGUGAGAGAAAUCUUAAAGACAGUGUCACAGAAAAGAAAACCGCCGCCAUAAGCGGUAAGGAUGAAAAGGCAGGGUAAGAGCCUACCGGUUGUUUGGUAAUAAGCAAGCCUGAUAAACCUCACGCGGAGCAAGCCUAAAUAGGAAAGGGUUGAAGUUGCUCGCUGACCUUUCGGGUAAGGUGCUUAGACUUGGGCGGCAACGUUCAAGCAAGAUAAAUGAUUGUCAUUAACAGAAUCCGGCUUAUUGACUGCCCGCCAA
rnacentral:RNase_P_RNA from 1 species